UACGGAGGGUCCAAGCGUUAUCCGGAAUCAUUGGGUUUAAAGGGUCCGUAGGCGGUUUUGUAAGUCCGUGGUGAAAGCCCAUCGCUCAACGGUGGAACGGCCAUUGAUACUGCAAGACUUGAAUUAUUGUGAAGUAACUAGAAUAUGUAGUGUAGCGGUGAAAUGCUUAGAGAUUACAUGGAAUACCAAUUGCGAAGGCAGGUUACUAACAAUAUAUUGACGCUGAUGGACGAAAGCGUGGGUAGCGAACAGG
rnacentral:rRNA from 1 species